GACGAACGCUGGCGGCGUGCUUAACACAUGCAAGUCGAACGGUGAAGCGCCUUCCUUUUUGGUUGGUGUGGAUGAGUGGCGAACGGGUGAGUAACACGUUCGUAACCUGCCCCCUUCUUCUGGAUAACCGCAUGAAAGUGUCGCUAAUACGGGAUAUUCUGUGCCUGUCGCAUGAUGGGUCUGUGAAAGAUAUUGUUUCGGUGUGGGAUGGGCUCGCGGCCUAUCAGCUUGUUGGUGGGGUGAUGGCCUACCAAGGCGGUGACGGGUAGCCGGGCUGGGAGGGUGGGCGGUAACAGUGGGAAGGAGACGCGGCGAAGACUACGAGAGGAGGCAGCAGGGAGGAAUAGUGCACAGUGGGCAGAAGGCUGAUGCAGCGACGCGGCGGGGAGGAAGGAGGCCGGCGGGUUGUGAACCUCUUUCGCGAGUGAAGCGGGCCUGCCUCGUUUGUGGGUGGGUUGACGGUAGCUGGAGAAGAAGCGCCGGCUAACUACGUG
rnacentral:rRNA from 1 species